rnacentral:rRNA from 1 species
CCUACGGGGGGCUGCAGUGAGGAAUAUUGGUCAAUGGACGAGAGUCUGAACCAGCCAAGUCGCGUGAAGGAUGACUGCCCUAUGGUUUGUAAACUUCUUUUAUAUGGGAAUAAAGUGUUCCACGUGUGGGUUUUUGUAUGUACCAUAUGAAUAAGGAUCGGCUAACUCCGUGCCAGCAGCCGCGGUAAUACGGAGGAUCCGAGCGUUAUCCGGAUUUAUUGGGUUUAAAGGGAGCGGAGGGGGAUUGUUAAGUCAGUGGUGAAAGUUUGGGGCUCAACCGUCAAAGUGCAGUUGAAACUGGCAGUCUUGAGUACAGGAGAGGUUGGCGGAAUGCGUGGUGUAGCGGUGAAAUGCAUAGAUAGCACGAAGAACUCCGAUUGCGAAGGCAGCUCACUGGACUGCAACUGACGCUGAGGCACGAAAGUGUGGGUAUCGAACAGGAUUAGAUACCCUUGUAGUC